rfam:Synechococcus phage S-RIM2 R1_1999, complete genome.
AAGAGUUUCCCUGUUCUCUCAAAACAGGGUGGUGGAGUCAUUAUGACCCUCGUUGAGUUUCCAGUUUCUCUAAAAAACUGGUGGCGAGCCUGCUC